rnacentral:lncRNA from 1 species
GCGAGAGGAGGGAGUCGUGGUGUGGACACUUUGUCGUGCGGAGGUAACCGACCCACCGAGCUUCGGUCCUCGAAACCAUCUCCGUCCCCCUGCUGUAUUCAGCCCCCGCCCAGGCAAUUGGUUGCCCAGUGCACACAUUUUAUAGUGGGGAAACUGAGGGCCAGAGAGGCAGCAGGAUCCUUCCUAUGUGAGAGAAGAGCAGCCGCAGCGGAAGCAGCAGGAAGAGCCAGAAGCCCAAAACAGCACACUGGAGCCAGCCAACCAAUACUUGCUAGAUCCUGGGUACACAUAGUACCCACACCUGUGACCUCUGCCCAGUGCUUGGAAGUUGGGGGCAGAUGCUCUGGGGUGCAGAACUGCAGAUCAGGAAUCACGGAGAACAAGCAGACAAAUAGCAAGACAUUGGCAGCAAGACUUCGGUAUCUUUUAAAAUUAGCAACAAGUAGAAACCCUUGAAAGAAGUCAGAGAAGAAACCAUCUUGGUAGUGAAAUUGGUGUACGCAAUACGUUGGACUCCCCUUCAGAAACCAUCACUGCUGGCCCGAGCUGGGGCUGAGGCGGCCACCCCGCGCCGGAAGUUGCAGGCCGGCGGGAGCUCAGAGCUCCGCGUUCAGUCCCAGCUCCCGCCAGCGGCAAGGAGGACGUAGUCUACACCUGAGGCCAGGUGGGCGGCAGGACCUGGGGAGGUCGCAACGAG